CCGGCUCCGCAAGUCCCAGAGGCGACCUCUCCCCCCGACACAUUCCCCAAACUGCGCGGCAGAGACGCGGAGGGGAGCCGGGCAAAGGGGAGAAGGCGGGGGGGGGGGGGGAAAAAGCCGUGUCACCCCUGUUGCCAGUGCCCCGUCCUGCUCCGGGAUGGGAGGCAGAGUCCAGCUCCCUUCCCUCCCUCUUUCCUUCCCUCCUUCCUUCCCUCCUCCUUCCUUCCUUCCCUCCGCAGGUUUCACGCUCAACCCGCUGGCCGGAGGUGUUCCCCGACCCGCCGCGGCACCGGGCAUCGCUCCCGUCCGCCCGGCGCGGGGGUAGGGAUGGGGCGGGCAGCGCUCCGGAAAGGCGAUAAAUUAAAAAAUAAGAGAAGAAAAAAAAAAGAAUACAACCUAGAAAUCCGCUUGAACAGCCACUCCAAAUUAAGAAAUUACCCUGGGACUUAGAUAAAGCAACAAACACAAAUGGCCAGGCGGUUAGCGUGAGAAGAGGCGGUAGAAUUAACACCAGUUCCUUGUCGAGGUGCAGGGGCAUAUCCCGACUUCCCGGCAUUAAAACCGGAGCGAUUUACUUCGGGAAGCGUUCGGCUGCCGCUAGUUUAGAGCUGUCUCUGCACCCCCAGCACCCCCCAAAAAUAAACCUCCCUGGUCCAAAGACAUCCCCCCCCCCCCGCUCCGGGUGUGAACCGGCACGACACGGCCGCCUGGCACAGUGGCACACCCCGCUCCGUAAAUGUGGGACUCACAUUUAAAAAAAAAAAAAAAAGAAAGAAAAAAGAAAAAAAGAAAAAACAUCCCCAGGGAGAAGGAAGCGCUUUGCCUCAGCCGGGAGCAAAGUGCCGGGGGGGGGGGAGAACCCUUCCUUCUCUUCCCCCCCUCUUCCUUCCCAAGAGCCUAUUUCUUCUUUUCCUUGACCACCCCCCCCCCCCCCGCUGCCUGGACCCUCUCUGCCCCCCCUGUCCGCCCAGGUGACCCGGGAUCCCAGCCGGGGGGGCACACACCGGUGUCCGCCCGGCCCUGCCCAAGGCACCGCCGAGUCCCGGCUCCCCCGCUCCACACCUGCGGCCCAUAAAUA